AGGAGCUUUUUGGGUGAAUAGAUAUUUUCCUGAGAAAGAAGUCUAAGAUUUGUCAAUGACUCCACUGUGGAUCCUCACAUCUCUGUAUUUCUUUCCUCAAAUAAAGCAACUGGAUUAUAAGGGUCAUCAUGUUGCUCCAGUAGACAAAGAAAGAAAGAGGAAGCAGCUGCUUUCAGUUCAGAAGAACAUGAAGACUGUGCUGCGUAACAUAUAAAUGCAGAAAAGGUCAAAAAGACUGGUUUAGUUGAAUGCCACAGUUCUGUCACUUCAUGGUACUGACCACAUCCAGUCUUGAUUAGUUCAUUUCGUAGUAGAGAACCAUGAAUAAAUGGGUUGAAUAAAACACUUCUGGCAUUACAUCCCUUUGAGUUGCAGUCUCACAGAGCCGCACUGUGUGUUCACCUGCUUUUGUAGUGAGUUCAUACUCAGCAACACCUGUUUGGAGGGUCUUCCUGGCAAUCUUGGACACUUUCAUGAUUAGAGAAUUAUUUACACCAUUUAAUCUUGGCUAUUUAGAUCUGUUUUCCUUGAGACAAAAACAACAUGGCAGAAUUUGACUUUCGUAUGAUCAUCUUCAAGACCUUUCAAAUGUUUCAAGAUAUACAACAUUAUUGCCUUUUGAGGUACAAUUUCUCCCUCUCCUUGGAAACAGAGAUUUGGCAUGUUAAGAUCUCCAAAAUGACAGUAAUUUCUGAGGGGCCCAGGCAUUUCCAAAACUAGAAAGAUAUCUUGGAAUAAUUUGUAUCAUAAACUUAAGCCUCUGCCUUACUUAAAGUCUGAGAUAAGUACUUGAGCUCCUGGCACUGCAUGGACACAAAUGCUAUUUGUGAGAAGGGCAUCUGCAAGUCAUGGGCCCUUCACAUGAAAAUCAGCGCUGGGCAAUUAAGCAAACUUUCCCUGCCAAGUUUGUUCAAACUUUUCAAUGAUCUUGAUUCCCUUCUUCCUCUGUGGUUUCCAGAGAACGAUUAAUUGUUUAUUUUGGGGGUGUCUGUUUCCUGUGUGUGGUGAUGUGAGGUGGCACAACACAACCCCGGUUUUAGCUGGGUAGGAAGACGGGAGUUCCCAAAGAUAACAUUUCUGUAGAUGGAUUUCUUACUUCUUUCAUUUAUUCUUCAGGGUCCAAGACUUUGCUAAACAUUUUUCUAAAAGUGGAAGUUUCUUCCACUUUUAGAAAGUGAAGGUAUGCUACAUAUCUCAACAGAGUCCUUACGCACUGUGCGUGCUUUACUUUUGUAACUCCUUAAUCCUCUGUGACAUGCAGCAUGUUGAUCACAAAGAGGCACCACCUCCUCUGAAGACCAGUGUUCAGCUCCUCAAAAGUGUUUAUAUGUUCCCACUGAAACGAUAGGAAGUUAAUUGCCUUAAUCCAUCUGGACUCAUAUGCUGUGCUGUACUGGCCAUGUUGAAAAUAAUGGGACCACAUUUUAACAGCAUGGUUUUAGGCAUGUGUGAAAACCAUGGGCAGCUCUCCAGGUACUCGGAUACUACAGUGACAGAGGAUACAUAAGCACUUGCUUAGGCAAUUGAACAGGUUUCAAAAGCAAGGCCUCCAAAAUGUAUCUUUUAUAAUAUAUUGCUGCUUUUUAACAGCUUGUUGUUGAAUAGAUUUUUAAACCUGCAGCAUAUGAAUAAUGCAAAUAAGGAAAUGUUGCACACUAAUGUUGAUUCAGUAACACUUUGCAUGCUCAUUAGCUAGUGUGCAUUAUAAUUGAACUCCUACAUGUGACAGCCACAUGAAUGCCAAAUGAAACCGUUAUGAUUAAUGCUGUUACAACGAACACCAAAUGAAUUUUUAAUGACUGAACACUUACCAUUUUCUCUUCCUAUUAAUUCUGUGGCAGGCAAAGUUUUGAUUAUUUUUAAAAAUUGGAUUUGAAGCAGUGAUAUGGAUGGCUUGUGGUAUUGUAACGUAGAACAUGCUUAACUGGUGCUAAGUCAUUUUACAAGCCAUUUUUGUUGACUGUUUAAAAAAAGCUACAGGUAAAAAACCCUGUUUUUCUAAAACCUGAUAAUAAAUGAAGAAUAUUCACUUGCUCCUCUUAUGAGAUUCACUUAGCAGCGAUCCAUGGAUACUAAUCAGACAUCACAAGGAAAGGGAAAUGGGGAUGACUGCUAAAGCAGUGAUUCAUUUUUAUUUCUUUUUGGAUUUUGCAAACUGUGGCUCUGGAGUGAUGGAAAAAAUAAUUUAUUUUUUUUUUUGUUAUUGGAUGGAAUGCCACAUGAAUAAACAAACAAAAUAUUCAUACUUUAAAUACAAACUUUGUUAUUUGUUCAAGUGAGCAAUGCUUCCACAAAGUCUGUUAGCCUUACAGCACUAUUUAUCUGCAGGGAGCAGCUGUCAUUAAUGCUGCCAUAUUAUCUCAUAUGCAUAGUAAUUUGCUUUAUAAAUGGAGACGGACCUAUUUAGGGACGUGUUUGCUGGUGACUGCAAGAAUUCUACAGCCAGGUCCAUGCUGAAACACCACCCCAUCUAACAUAGCAACCCUUAGUGCAAAGGGUAAAACCUCCUUUCAGGCUUCAGACAUUUUUAUAUUUCACAGAGAGGCAACUAAAUCUGAAACUGCAUCUACUGGGCUUCUGGAGGACACAGGGGAGGACUAUGUUCACAGUUGAAAAUACUUAUGUAAAGUUAUUUUCCUUGUGCUUUCAUGAGUUAUUCUAAAUGUCCUGUGAGCCACAUGCCUGUGGAUUAGCUGCUCUCUUGUGACCUAGGUUGUAUGAACGUCAAGAAAAAGAACACAGGUUUGCUCCUGAGUUCAGUAACACCAAGCUAUCACUCCUUAUCUUUUACUUUUCUUGGAAUUCAAUCUCUAAAUGGGUAUGAAAAGUUGUAGUGUUUGUCUCUUUAUAUUUAUUGCAAGAGACUAUGAAAAUAAAAUUAUAUGAGCAAGAAUAAGCGGUUGCUGGCCAAGUAUUCUGUGAGAAACGGCUGUAAAUUAGGAAGAAAGUUGUGUUCCAUAAAUAACAGGCUAACUGCAGAGAGCAACAAUGCCACUCUUCACAGCAGCAGCAGAAAUGCAUGGUGGUAACAAGAGAGGAAAGAACUACCAGGGUUCUCAGGCAAAAGGAACGAAAGGUCAGACCUGGCUACUCCUAUGCAUUCCCUUUCCACCCCUGCCUUCUUUCCUGGCUCCUGCAAGCUUGC